rnacentral:rRNA from 1 species
GCCUACGGGGGGCAGCAGUGGGGAAUAUUGCACAAUGGGGGAAACCCUGAUGCAGCAACGCCGCGUGAGUGAGGAAGUAUUUCGGUAUGUAAAGCUCUAUCAGCAGGGAAUAGAGAAGAAGGUACCUGAAAAAGAAGCCCCGGCUAACUACGUGCCAGCAGCCGCGGUAAUACGUAGGGGGCAAGCGUUAUCCGGAUUUACUGGGUGUAAAGGGAGCGUAGACGGCAAUGCAAGCCAGAUGUGAAAGCCCGGGGCUCAACCCCGGGACUGCAUUUGGAACUGUGUAGCUGGAGUGUCGGAGAGGC